rnacentral:rRNA from 1 species
UACGUAGGGGGCAAGCGUUAUCCGAAUUUACUGGGUGUAAAGGGAGCGUAGACGGCUUUGCAAGCCAGAUGUGAAAGCCCGGGGCUCAACCCCGGGACUGCAUUUGGAACUGUAUGGCUGGAGUGUCGGAGAGGCAGGCGGAAUUCCUAGUGUAGCGGUGAAAUGCGUAGAUAUUAGGAGGAACACCAGUGGCGAAGGCGGCCUGCUGGACGAUGACUGACGUUGAGGCUCGAAAGCGUGGGGAGCAAACAGG